CUUGGUCAUUUAGAGGAAGUAAAAGUCGUAACAAGGUCCCCGUAGGUGAACCUGCGGAGGGAUCAUUACUGAGUUUUUAACUCUCCAAACCAUGUGAACUUACCACUGUUGCCUCGGUGGUCGGUGCUGGAAACAGUGCUGCCACCGGUGGACUACUAAACUCUUGUUAAUUUUUGUCAAAUCUGAAUCAAAACUAAGAAAUAAGUUAAAACUUUCAACAACGGAUCUCUUGGUUCUGGCAUCGAUGAAGAACGCAGCGAAAUGCGAUAAGUAAUGUGAAUUGCAGAAUUCAGUGAAUCAUCGAAUCUUUGAACGCACAUUGCGCCCAUUAGUAUUCUAGUGGGCAUGCCUGUUCGAGCGUCAUUUCAACCCUUAAGCCUAGCUUAGUGUUGGGAGACUGCCUAAUACGCAGCUCCUCAAAACCAGUGGCGGAGUCUGUUCGUGCUCCGAGCGUAGUAAUUUUUUAUCUCGCUUCUGCAAGCCGGCCAGACGACAGCCAUAAACCGCACCCUCUCGGGGGGCACUUUUUUAAUGGUUGACCUCGGAUCAGGUAGGAAUACCCGCUGAACUUAAGCAUAUCAAUAAGCGGAGGAAAAGAAACCAACAGGGAUUGCCCUAGUAACGGCGAGUGAAGCGGCAACAGCUCAAAUUUGAAAUCUGGCCUUCUGGUCCGAAUUGUAAUUUGUAGAGGAUGCUUUUGGUUAGGUACCUUUCGAGUUCCUUGGAACAGGACGCCUUAGAGGGUGAGAGCCCCGUACGAUUGGAUACCGAGCCUCUGUAAGGCUCCUUCGACGAGUCGAGUUGUUUGGGAAU
rnacentral:sRNA from 1 species